UACGGAGGUGGCUAGCGUUGUUCGGAAUUACUGGGCGUAAAGCGUGCGCAGGCGGUUCGCAAAGUCUGAUGUGAAAGCCCCGGGCUCAACCUGGGAACUGCAUUGGAAACUAACGGGCUCGAGUGUGGCAGAGGGGGGUGGAAUUCCACGUGUAGCAGUGAAAUGCGUAGAUAUAGGAAGGAAUACCAGUGGCGAAGGCGGCCUCCUGGAUCAACACUGACGCUGAGGUGCGAAAGCGUGGGGAGCAAACAGG
rnacentral:rRNA from 1 species